rnacentral:rRNA from 1 species
GACGAACGCUGGCGGCGUGCUUAACACAUGCAAGUCGAACGGAAAGGCCCUGCUUUUGUGGGUUGCUCGAGUGGCGAACGGGUGAUUAACCCGUGAGUAACCUGCCCUUGACUUUGGGUUAACUUCAGGAAACUGGGGCUAAUACCGGAUAGGAGCUCCUGCUGCAUGGUGGGGGUUGGAAAGUUUCGGCGGUUGGGGAUGGACUCGCGGCUUAUCAGCUUGUUGGUGGGGUAGUGGCUUACCAAGGCUUUGACGGGUAGCCGGCCUGAGAGGGUGACCGGCCACAUUGGGACUGAGAUACGGCCCAGACUCCUACGGGAGGCAGCAGUGGGGAAUAUUGCACAAUGGGCGGAAGCCUGAUGCAGCAACGCCGCGUGCGGGAUGACGGCCUUCGGGUUGUAAACCGCUUUCGCCUGUGACGAAGCGUGAGUGACGGUAAUGGGUAAAGAAGCACCGGCUAACUACGUG